GCGAGGAUCUUCCGCAAUGGGCGAAAGCCUGACGGAGCGACACCGCGUACAGGAUGAAGGCCUUCGGGUCGUAAACUGUUGUCACGCUAUAGGAACCCCUUGGUGUUAAUAGCGCCAAGGCUGACUAAAGCGAGAGGAAGCAACGGCUAACUCUGUGCCAGCAGCCGCGGUAAGACAGAGGUUGCAAACGUUGUUCGGAAUCACUGGGCAUAAAGCGCACGUAGGCGGCCUGAUAAGUCGGUAGUGAAAGCCCUCGGCUUAACCGAGGAAGUGCUAUCGAAACUGCCAGGCUUGAGUACCGGAGAGGAUCGCGGAAUUCCCGGUGUAGAGGUGAAAUUCGUAGAUAUCGGGAGGAACACCAGUGGCGAAGGCGGCGAUCUGGACGGAUACUGACGCUGAGGUGCGAAAGCGUGGGGAGCAAACAGGAUUAGAUACCCAUGUAGUCCCUGAGCGGGCUGGCAAGGCGCAU
rnacentral:rRNA from 1 species